rnacentral:lncRNA from 1 species
GGGACAGAGAUGUAUGUAGAGUAUCUUCACAUGUUAAUUAAAAUCUAGGGUCAAUUGUCAGAAAGCAGUGUUAGAACCUGAUAUCUGACUAGGGAAUUGCAAACUUUGAAUUACAUCUCUAAGAUGAGAAUGAAGGCAGGAGAUUUUCACUGUAUUAAUAUUCUGAUUAGGAGAGGUAACAUCCAGGAAUAGGUGGUAGUUUAAGAAUGGAAUCUCAGCACAGAAAAUGACGUAAGUGUCCGAUAUUUUUAUUAUCUGAAUGUGACAGAGAGGACUUCUGGAAAUAAAGCUAAAAUACAUGUGCUUUCCUCCCACUGUAUAUCUCUAAAAAAUAGUAACUUAAUUCUAAAGUUCUGCAUUUCAGUGCUAUGAACAAAACCGGCAGUGGAGGGCACCAGAAAUCUGCAGGCAUUAUAGACCACAAAGAUGUAACACUGUUGCUUAAAAUACCUUAAUAAUUAACAUACUUAUUACACUGUAAUUAACACCUUGACAUUCAUUUAGCCUGACACACCGACUGGUCCAACAAGAUUCUCAUUAAUAACUCCACCGCAAGAUGGACGUAUGGGUAGUGUAUCCUACAGAAAUUCUCAAUCAUCUGGAAUAAUGUCAAGUCAAAAUAGUAGAGCAGGAUCUACAAGAUCCACGCCUAUAAGACUACCACAUAGUGGAUGUUCACUUACAUCAUCAUCUGGAUCACAAAGUAGUAGAAGGGGGUCAUGGGCUACUUCUGAUUUCAGAACCCCCCAGUUGUACCCAUUUACAUCACCUUCCCCACAGCCCUCUGUAACAAGACCACCAAUCACCAUCUCUGGACUUCUGCAAAGACAACAUAUAGGCAAGUAUGUUUUAUAAAAUAGCA